GUGGGGAAUUUUGGACAAUGGGCGCAAGCCUGAUCCAGCAAUGCCGCGUGUGUGAAGAAGGCCUUCGGGUUGUAAAGCACUUUUGGCAGGAAAGAAAUAGCGCGUGCUAAUACCAUGCGCGAAUGACGGUACCUGCAGAAUAAGCACCGGCUAACUACGUGCCAGCAGCCGCGGUAAGACGUAGGGUGCAAGCGUUAAUCGGAAUUACUGGGCGUAAAGCGUGCGCAGGCGGUUUUGUAAGACAGGUGUGAAAUCCCCGGGCUCAAACUGGGAACUGCACUUGUGACUGCAAGGCUAGAGUGUGUCAGAGGGAGGUGGAAUUCCGCGUGUAGCAGUGAAAUGCGUAGAGAUGCGGAGGAACACCGAUGGCGAAGGCAGCCUCCUGGGAUAACACUGACGCUCAGGCACGAAAGCGUGGGGAGCAAACAGGAUUAGAAACCCGGGUAGUCC
rnacentral:rRNA from 1 species